CUGCCACUGAGGAGUCCCAUAAUAGGACUAAACGACCUUCAAGCAG
rnacentral:hammerhead_ribozyme from 1 species